GCGCGAGCGGACUUUUCCCCGGAGCUCGAGGCCGGAGGGGCACGCGCUGCCCGAGCCGCUGAGGUGUUUCCCCCGCUGCAGCAAAACCUGCCCUGCAGACCGGCCGCUCUCAGGCAGCGAGUUCAAAGGCAGGAGACUCGCUGCGGAGGAUUUGUUCAGGCUUAUUAGGUCUGAGUAAGGUGACACGCUGAGAGAGGGGGAGCUGAGGGAGGAGGAAGAGGAGGAGUGAGGUUUCCAUUGCCGGACUUUGCACCCGGGGGCUGGAAGCAGGAUUUCUUGCUUGGCUGGAUAGAUUUGGGCUAAAUAGGAAACACAAUCAAUCUGAUUCCACUCCAUCCAUCGCCUGGAUCAUCUAGUGGAGUCAUUAACUUCACCUCUGCAGUCUCACCGCGUGCAUGCAGUGAACCUCAUUUUUCC